AUCAUUAGUUUAACAUUACAACCAGGCGAUAAAAAAUAAUUUCAUGGAAAACAUUCUUUUUGAAAAAUGUUUUUCAUAUGUAAGCUAUUUUUUGUGAAAUAAAUGGAGCCUAAGUUAGAUGAUUUUUCUAUAGAAGGAAUAGAUGGAUUCACUUUUAGGGUUAUUAGUGGGAAUUAAUGGUUAAAGGAUAAAAAGAUCAUGCUGUCUCAGAUUUGUAACAUCUUGAUGGAGGCAUAAAUUUAUAGUUCCAUAUAAAUGACAAAGAAAUCAGGUUUCAGUUGUUAAUGUGGGGAUGAACAAUUAUAAUUGCGGAACACAUUUCUUCUGGAUUUUGAGAUUUGGGAUUCUGGGUCCGGUAGUAUUGAUUUUGGCCUAAAGGGUCAAAGAAGAUAAACAAUUUGAAUUACUUAAGCAUCUUGUUUUAGGUGUCAUGGGCAUCACUGCCCAUAUGGUCAGGGUAGCAUCAUUCUAGCUCAAUUUACAAAUAGAGUUACAGCGCAUCAUGCAGGAUAUUGCAAGAGUA
rnacentral:misc_RNA from 1 species